GGAGUGGGCGGGACGAGGGGGCUCCGUAGUGGGUUCGGGGUCUCCACAGCGGGCGGGUCGGGGUGGCCGUUUGGGGCGGUCCUGGUUCACAUCGGUUUGGCCGUUUGGAGGGUUCUGGUUCACAUCGGUUCGGCCCAUGUGCGUUCACUCAGGUUAAACAGCUCUUUAGGCGGCUGUGGGGUGCGUGGGGCUCGCUGAGGGGACAGCAGGCCUGUGCCCAUGGAGCUGGGCCUGAGCAUUGCAGGUUGGCAGCCUGGCCUCCUUCACCAGCAGCUCUCCAAGGAAAGGCCCAACCAGACUCACUUUCCACGUGUGAGAUGUGGUAACCAGCAGAACACAUCAGCCAACUGUGCUUCCCUCCUGUUAUUCCAUCUGCUGCCCCGUCCCGUGCUCGGGGCUGGGUGCCCUGGUUAGGUCCAAACCAUUUAUUAAAGGUGUCCCUUGAUAAUAGAUGUUGAAUCUGCUUAUCCCAGACUGAACUGCUCAGCUCUGGUGCUUGCUGUGUCAUGACUCUGGACCCACAGUGCCAUCACCUCCGCUCUGUGACCCUCAGCCACAUCCUCACCCUGUGCUCUGCCUGACCGAAGCCUUUCCUGGUUCCUCUCCCCGGUGCUGCCACCACUUCCUCAACUUUUGCUGUCUCAGGGCAUUAUCUUAUCAGCCUCAGGUAAUUUAUCAGUUGGGGCUGUUCUUUGUGCUGGGCCUCACCUUUGCUGUCACUGGAGAGGGGCCGAUCUCUGCACUCUGUCUGCCUUGGGACCAAGGUGCAAGCAGGAGCAGAGAUGGCUUUCCAAGCUUCCUCCCUCCCAGCUUAGAGCACUGAGAUAAACAAGCAGGGAGAAAAUGGAGCAAAAAUGAAUUCAGAAGGGACAGAAGCGAGAAGAGUAAAGUGAGAUGGAUCCUGAAAAACGCACGUGGUGAGCCAUCAGAUUCUCUUUCUUAUCCCAGAGGAAUUCCAGAUACACGAGCAAAUCAUCAGAACCUGUAAUCUACAUCAUUAGCAUCUUCUGCUGGAAAACAUCAUCAGACUAAUUCAUUUGUCCUGGCAGCCGAAUGAUUAAAGUUUGAAAACCAAAUUAUACACCAUUGCUGCAACAGUGUAAAUACAUAAUUGGCUUUCCUCUAUUAGAUCUGUAACCUCUCAUAAUAGUUGUAAUGAGCUUUUAGUCCUGUCAUCCCAUCCUCCCCCCCAGAAAACAACAAAAGGAGCCUAACGCACAAUGCUCUGCUCUAUGUCCUUCACACUGUGAUGGCCAAGUGCCUGCAAUGCACUGCAGCUGGGAGCUGUGGGCCAGUCCCUUGCACAGUGUGGGGUAGGGACUCUUAAAUUAAACUCUUCCCAGUUUAAUUUAAUAACAGGCUGCCAGCUUGACUUUCAUCUGCUUGUGUUUUUCACUAGUUCCAUAUUUAACUGAACUUAUCACCAUAAACCCAGGAACUGUUUCACUUUCUGUACCACGCUUGGUUUCCUGUUCACCUGCAAAGGACACACCUGUCUGCUGUGUUUCUGACCUGCCAGGACUGGGGAUCCUGUUAUCUGGAGACAAAGGGAGCACAGGAAUCUGGAGUCGGUGGAUUCCUUUCCUGAGGCAUGUGGCCAGACCUGAAAGCCCAGCUGCCAGGCUCUUCUGUGUUUACUGCCUUCCAUAUCUGUUCCAUAUUUCAUGGGAACAUGCAGGACUCUCUGUUUGUUUCUGGAAGGCCUGACAGUGGCACAGGAACAGCUUUACCCUUCCAGAAUCCUCAGACUGGAGCUUGUGUUGCCUUGAGGCUCAUGUUUGUGAAUCCUCAUCCUGUGCCUGGAUCUUCAAAACCCCGGGGGGCUCAUGAGCCCAUUUUGCAGGUAGCUGGGCUGUGGGCUGACCCCCAGAGUGCAGCCUGGAAGCCAUGCUGAUGUCUGUGUGGAGCUUCUCAUCAGGUGCUUGCGAGAAAGACAAAGAACAUUAAAUGCUUCCAUUCUCAUAACUAAACAGAGCAGCUUUCUGUUGACAGUAUCUGUUGGCAACAACCUCUCAGAUGUCAAAAAAAAUAUCAAUAAACCAACAAGAGGAUGCUUUGCCAAAACAGGCCUGACAAACUAACAACGUGCUGGAGGAGGCAAGGUGAUUCAGGUGACUAUGAAGAUAUCAUUGUGCCUCUGUGGGGACCAGCUUUCACACCUAUUGUACCUAUUUCAGCACACUGUACCUGUGGGAUGCUGACAUAUUUAAAUAUGGCCCAGUAAAAAUUCCUAAACCCUGCCCCAGUGCUUGUAAUGAAGGAAUUAAUGCGUAUCUUGUGCCUGCCCAUGUUUCUCUGCAGUGAAUGCAUUGCAAUGAGAGCUGGGAGCCCCACAGCAGCACAGACCGUGUGCUCUGGGAGCAGUAUGUGAACACAGGCAUCUGUGCUCCGCAUCCCUCUGCUCUCCUGUUGGAUUUCUUCCUCUCCAGGCUCCCAGUCCUGAGAUGAUCCAGCAUUAAGGAGCAAGUGGGGCACAAAACAUCCACAGGAUUUCUGGAACCAGGUCUCUGCAAUGCACUGUGCUGUGCUGCAGACUGCAGCUCAGGAUCCCAGUGCCUUGCCCCGUUGUGCAGUGCCAUCUCCUGGGCUGCACACGUUGCUCACUGCCUGAGCUUCACAACCAGACUUUGGCUCCUGAAGCACCGAGUGGUGCCACAAGCAGAAACAGCCUCGAGGUACCUUCAGACCCACCAGGAGUGACCCACUGAGCUCCUCUUUCUCCAGCAGCGAGAAGUACACAGUACACUCACUCUCCCUUCUGAGGAGCCCUGUGGCAGGACCUCCCUGCACAUCUCCUUCCUGCUUUCGGCGGCGAAUAUAAAUCUCUAGGUACAAAAAGCUCAGUAAAAGGAGCACAAAUAAACAGCAGUGAGAUGCUGUUCCUUACUUUUUGUUCAGCUUUGGGCACAAGUUCCCAGCUCAGUGAGACUCAAGGCAGGUCAGUGCCCUGCUUACCCCAUCUUCCUGGUUUUAAGUGACAUAUUUUCUCUCUUCCUCCCCAAGUUUAAUGACCUCGUCAUGAGCGACAACCAAGCCCCUAAUCACAGCACUCACCCUGCACUUAAAACGUUGCUACAUCUUUUUAAUGAGACAAAAAUGUGCACGUGGAACUUGCUCCUAAAUGCUACCGGCUUGACUAAGCUCUAUAUUUAUCCUGAAAACACACAAAAAAAAUGGGUGGUUCUGAGGGCAACCUGUUUGCUCCUAAGAAACAGCAGCAGAGCUUAAGUGCUUAGUCACCGCAAGAAUGAACACAGCAAUUCAGAUCCCAAGGCUGGUAUUUCAUCCAUCAUUCUGGGCUACUGGAGCACGCUGUGAGCAGCUGGGAGGUACGGCACGCUGUGCUAAUCUGUCAGAUGCAAUGAGCUAACGGGUGGGCCGAGGUAACGCUGUGAAAGCUGUUAUUGGAAAGAAAAGCCAAAUAAAAAGGGAAGAAAAGACAAUUAUAUAAACGUAAGGCCA